AAAGCAGCUUCUUUCUUUCAAGUUAGCUAUUGAAUCAAGUUAGACGUUAUAUGCCCAUGAUCUGUCUAGUAACGAUGAAAGUUUUAACAACUAUCUUUGUCACGGAUUAAAGAACAAGGUUAUGAAAGUCGUUAAUCUCUCAAUUUCAGAAACUUUCGCUGAGCUAAUCUAGAGGUGUAAACACAGCGGUUGGCGGCGAGCUAAGGAGAACGGCUGUAGAUGUAAAGCACGUUAUUCUACUUGAUUUAGACACGAAGUUAAAAUGCCUGAUGAAAAAAAAUAAUACUCCGGGGAUACACGCUGGAGAUUAUACGAAACACGAUCCAUCAACGCAAAGUCAUACUAGAAAAGUGGGAGAAUCAAGUUCACCUGAAAGCCCAUAGGAGCUCUCUUCGAGUAUUCGUCGUGCUCGAAUGACGUCACGUCCUUCUUCCCUCGCAUCCCCUGGAAUCCCAUGGGAGCUCGUUUAACAGGAACAACAUCACUGGACGGUUUAUCGGCCAGCACUGAUGUAAAUACUGCCACGACGAACAGGAUUGAGCGGAAAUACAUUCUGAAAUAGAAAAAAGAUUUUCGCGAAGGAAUGAUCGGAGAGAACCAGUCGGAUGAUCGCAAGAUUAGAUUCGGACCUGUCAAAAUUGCAAUUCAUUUCAAAGACAGGAUCCUUUGCACAUCUGGUUUGAUUGCUUAAUUAAUGUGGGUCAUCAACACGGCGUUGAAUUUAAUUACAACGACGCCCCUCGGCGAGGCCGUGGCUGCAGGGAAAUUAACUCGGUGCACGUCGUUUCCUCGGUGGAAAUAUAUAUUCCUCAAUAUUUUUUAACGAAA